rnacentral:lncRNA from 1 species
CUCACUGCAACCUCAACCUCCCGGGUUCAAGUGAUUCUCCUGCCUCAUCCUCUCAUGUAGCUGGGAUAUAGGCACGCACCACCACGCCCAUCUAAUUUUUGUAUUUUUAGUAGAGACAGGGUUUCACCAUGUUUGUCAGGCCGGUCUCGAACUCCUGGCCUCAAGUGAUCCACCGCCACCUUGGCCUCUUAAAGUGCUGGGAUUACAGGUCUGGUGCUCCGUCCGCACACCUGAGAGCUCCCACGAAGGCCUCAUCACCGAUCCCCACAGCCCCUCUCGCUUCCGGGUCAUCGGCUCCCUCUCCAAUUCCAAGGAGUUCUCAGAACACUUCCGCUGCCCACCUGGCUCACCCAUGAACCCGCCUCACAAGUGCGAAGUCUGGUAAGGACGAAGCGGAGAGAGC